GAUGAAGAACGUAGUGAAAUGCGAUAAGUAGUGUGAAUUGCAGAAUUCAGUGAAUCAUCGAAUCUUUGAACGCACAUUGCGCCUCCUGGCAUUCCGGGAGGCAUGCCUGUUCGAGCGUCAUCAAACCCCAUCGUGCAAAUGAAUUAUUUUUUUUGCGCGGAAGUGACGAUUGAGCGAGAAUAACAAAUCCUCUCGCACCUCGUCGAAAUGAUUGCGGGCGGAAUUUGGGAUCGGGUUCCUCGGCGUAGUGUAUCAAUGCAUAUUUAUGCAACUUGCCGCGGAGUUGAGCCUGACCCACGCGUUCUCGCCGUACAAACACCUCAUUACUUUACAAGUUUUUGACCUCGGAUCAGGUAGGGAUACCCGCUGAACUUAAGCAUAUCAAUAAGCGGAGGA
rnacentral:misc_RNA from 1 species